AAUGGCAAAUCCGACCCCUCCUUCUUCGAUCGGUGUUGGGACUUUCGUCCUACUUGGUGGACUUCUGGCCAUCUAUCGGUCAGCAUAUGCCGGCUUGGGACAUCUUGAUGUUGGAGCAUUGUCAUCAAUGGGAAGGUCGUUGAUAGUGGUUUGAAUGCCGCUCGAGAACCUAACUCGUCAAAUACCCAAUUUUGGGUGAUCCAGACCGAUUCAGAUGCUUUUGAUUUGGGCUUAAUAACCCUCGGAAUGGGACUAUCCUAUUUUAGGGCAUAACAGAGUGAGCCUUUGACGCUUCUCUCCUAUCCCUUGUCAUAGACCCUGGGAUGAACUCAUAUGCUUAUCUUAAUGAUUUCUUUCUCUCUUCUUUUUUUUUUUUUUGCCAUAUUCCUUCUCCUUUCCCCCCCCCCUGUUUUUUUUUUUUUCUGUUUGUCUUUCCUAUCCUUGAAAUUCUAGGAUGGAUUGACCUGAUGGAUUAUAGUUGGGUUUUUAGCCUUGCAUUCCCCUGUCACACUAUUAUUUGGAGAUGGGGUCUUAUCUUGCCAUUGUUCUUUGCCCCAGCCUACCCCUCUAUCUUCUACUCGCCAUAUAUACAGGAUACACUGGUGGGCAAGGAUUCUUUCUCCUCGAUUGAUCAAGCAAGUCAGGGACAUCGGCUUAUGGGAGGUAUGUUAGAUUGAUGCCUUCCCCUUGGACAUGGCACUCAUUAGUGCUCUAGUUCAUCGAUUUCAACCUGAGACUGUGACUUUCCCCUUUCCUUGUGGGGAAACCGGCAUCACACUAGAGGUUGUGACUUAGAUCCUUGGGGUUAGGAGUGAUGGGGUACCCCUUCUUUAUGAUCCUCCUCCAGGUGGCCAUUCUGUAUGGGGAGAGGUCCACGAGUUGUUGGGAUAUAUUCCUCUUAGGGAGUGAAGGCGGGGCGAGAAGUGGAUUUUGGAGGCCAUCGAGGGUAUAAAGCUCCAGUGGUUUGAGGUAGAUGAGCACUCAAGGAGCGUACUGACUUGGGCAAGAAAACUGCCUGUCAAGCCCAAGUCGACACGAGCUAAGAAGGCCCUAGUGAGCGGUGCAUCUGUUGCUCCUAUUGAGGCUGAGGAACCUAUGUUAGAGCCUGAGGAUGAGGAGAGGGAGGCUUCUCCUUCUGCUUCAUCUUCUGCGAUCGAAUCUGAGAACUAGGUGCAGAAUGACGAGACCCUUAUAUCGACUCCCCAGAUGGAUGGAUGAUGCAAAUAGCAUAGGUAUCAGUCUUAAGCGCCCUAGGAGGGCUUGUACUCUCAGGGGGGUUAGGAGAAAGGGGCUUCCCCUCCCUAAUCCACCAGCUCAUGACCAGGUAGAUGAUUUCAUCGAGGGUUCCAUUCCCUUAGCUGAUGUUUUGGUUGGAGAGACCUAUGGAGCAGGUGGAGUAGGAGAUGCAGUUACUUCUGUGGGAUCGGCUCGUAUAGAGAGAGUUACUGGGGAGACCGAGUCCCUUGGGGAUGAUCAUGAUAUUCCUGCAGAGGCCGAGGGAGAGGUCCCUGUUGAGGUUGAGGAAGGUGUUAUUGGGAUAAGGGAGUCUUCAGUCCUAACUACGAUCACCCUUGCGAUGCUGAGGUUACAAUGGUGUAUAGGCAAGCAGUUCGAGGUUUUCUUGUGUACAUUUUUGGUGCCCUUCUAUUUCUUGACCUUUCCAAGGGCAACCCCAUGUUCAGUUGGUUUGGACCAUUCGGGACGUCAAGUAUCUCCAUCAUGUAGCAUGGGGUUCGGUUAUUUUAGCCUUCCUCCUUUCGGGUUUGUGGGAGGCCGCCCUUGGGUAUGUGAGUUAUGUUAAUGGUUUUACAGCCGUACUUCAGGUAUUUUAUUAUUCGAACUUCCCUUCUCUUAUUUUCUUUCCUUUUUAGGAUUUCAUCCUAAUUGAGGGCUCUUGAGCCUAGAACACAUUGAUGUGACCAGGCCACUUAUUUUGAGUACUGCCAAAAGCUUUACUCAUAUCCAUCGUUGAGCGCAGGGUAAGUGAAUGUGUAGGCUUUUAUAGUGGAUCAUUAUACACUGAUCUUUGACGUCAUGGAGGAGACAAAGAUCAGAUGCGCUCCUGCUUCUGGUGAUGAGCCCCUAGAGAUAGUAUAGUGAUCUCAAAGGUCUUUUUUACGACUGCUCCUCUGAUUUGCAUGUAUGUCGUGGAGGCAUACCAUUCAGAUAGGCUCCUUCGACACUUUCGGCACCCCCAGGUGGAGCUACCAAAUGUAGAUGUCUUUGUUGUCCUUGAGAUCAGUCUGGGGCAAGAUUAUUGGUGGGACUUGUCUCCUUACCAUACCCAAUGAGAUCAUCGCCACUAAUUUCAGUUGACGAGAUAUGAGCCGAGCGUAAUGACUUUAGAUCGAGGCUGAGGCAGUUGCAGGAGCAGUGAGCUCAGUUGCAGAGGGAGCAUGAGGAUGUUGUUAGAAGCAGGUCCCAGAUAGAGCGCAGGAGGGACUCCCUUCGUGACUCUUCUCAGAUGGCCUCUCCCCUUCCACUAGUGGGAUCUCCAGGUAUUCCCCUUGCACCGCAGACUUCCCAGGGUCCUUCGACUAACGAGUUCGAGUGCUUGUGUUCUCAGGUCAUCCUAUAUCGGUCCGAGUGCUAAAGACUUCGAUCUGAGAGGGUGCGCAAUUAUUAUAUAUUCUUUUUUUUAUGCUUGCAUUUGACUCAUAUUGAUUUUUAACCCCUUUUGCCUCUUUCCUCUGUUUCUUUUCCUUUUUGGGCCAAGACCAUGCCCUACGUGAGUAUGCUAGUAGUGCAAGCGUUGUGGCUGCUUUGGAGGGGUAACCAUUGGGGGGACCGAUCCUUCUCAUAUCAUAGAGCACGCUUUGGCUCGAUAUCCUCAUCCCCCUCCUUUGGAGCGUACAUAGAGCUUAGCCAUAUCCAGCUGUGCCUUACGAGUAGGUGCAAGCGAGCAUCGUCCUGUGGAUAGUACAUCGCUACCGGGAGCAUAGGAUUAGGAGGCCUCUUCAUCUCAUCAUCCUUCCAGGAGUUGCCACUCCCAAAGCCCUGCAUUUUGACGGAUAUUUGAUCCUCGGGCUUUGCAUGCCCUUUGUGGUUGACUCUUUUUUAUCACCACAAUUUUUGGAUUAGUUGUUUGUAUGGAUAGGCUUAUCUUUUGUUUGCUAAUAUCAUGGCAUGCACAUUCAUUGUA